rnacentral:rRNA from 1 species
AACGUAGGAGGCGAGCGUUAUCCGGAUUCACUGGGCGUAAAGCGCGUGUAGGCGGCUCGUCAAGUCGGUUGUGAAAGCCCCUGGCUCAACUGGGGGAGGUCAGCCGAGACUGAUGGGCUUGAGGGUCAGAGAGGAAGGUGGAAUUCCCGGUGUAGCGGUGGAAUGCGUAGAGAUCGGGAGGAACACCAGUGGCGAAGGCGGCCUUCUGGCUGACAGCUGACGCUGAGACGCGAAAGCGUGGGUAGCAAAC